rnacentral:tRNA from 1 species
GCCUCUGUAGCAUAGUAGCUGGUGCGUCUGCCUCGUAAGCAGAAGGUCGGGAGUGCAACUCUCCCCAGAGGCU